rnacentral:rRNA from 1 species
CCAGACUCCGGGAGGCAGCAGUGGGGAAUAUUGGGCCAUGGGCGCCCGCCUGACCCAGCCACGCCGCGUGAAGGCCGCCGGGUUUCGGCUCGUAAACUUCUCUCCCCAGGGACGCACGAACUGACGGUCCCUGAAUAAGAAGCCCCGGCUAACUACGUGCCAGCAGCCGCGGUCAUACGUAGGGGGCAAGCGUUAUCCGGAAUUACUGGGUGUAAAGGGUGAGUAGGCGGCAUGGUAAGCCAGAUGUGAAAGCCUUGGGCUUAACCCGAGGAUUGCAUUUGGAACUAUCAAGCUAGAGUACAGGAGAGGAAAGCGGAAUUCCUAGUGUAGCGGUGAAAUGCGUAGAUAUUAGGAAGAACACCAGUGGCGAAGGCGGCUUUCUGGACUGAAACUGACGCUGAGGCACGAAAGCGCGGGGAGCGAACAGGAUUAGAUACCCCUGUA